AUUGAACGCUGGCGGCAUGCUUUACACAUGCAAGUCGAACGGUAACAGGCCGCCAGGUGCUGACGAGUGGCGAACGGGUGAGUAAUGCAUCGGAACGUGCCCAGUCGUGGGGGAUAACUACUCGAAAGAGUAGCUAAUACCGCAUACGAUCUAUGGAUGAAAGCGGGGGACCGUAAGGCCUCGCGCGAUUGGAGCGGCCGAUGUCAGAUUAGGUAGUUGGUGGGGUAAAGGCUCACCAAGCCAACGAUCUGUAGCUGGUCUGAGAGGACGACCAGCCACACUGGGACUGAGACACGGCCCAGACUCCUACGGGAGGCAGCAGUGGGGAAUUUUGGACAAUGGGCGCAAGCCUGAUCCAGCAAUGCCGCGUGCAGGAAGAAGGCCUUCGGGUUGUAAACUGCCUUUGUACGGAACGAAACGGCUCUGGUUAAUACCCGGGGCUAAUGACGGUACCGUAAGAAUAAGCACCGGCUAACUACGUG
rnacentral:rRNA from 1 species